rnacentral:lncRNA from 1 species
CCUUUUUACGAUGCCCGGGCCCACGUGCAUUCUCUAAGGUGCUAUCUCACCAAGGUGAUGCAUCAAUUCACCGAGCCACGUGCCCUUUUAGAUGCCAUUCCGGAAUGCUGGACUCACGUGCAUUCUCUAAGGUACUCGCUUACCAAAGUGACGCAUCAGAUCACCGAGCCACGUGUCCUUUUAGAUGCCAAAUCCUGUCACCGAGCCACGUGCAUUCUCCAGGACGACAUACCGAGUCUCCGAG